GCAAACUUGGUCAUUUAGAGGAAGUAAAAGUCGUAACAAGGUUUCCGUAGGUGAACCUGCGGAAGGAUCAUUAACAUAUUAAGAAUUAUCAAUUCUUAAACCCCACCUGAGUACUUGUACAUGUUGCUUCCGUGGGAUGUGGGCCAAGUAGCCCUACGUUUUCUUCGCUUUGAAGAUACCACGGAAGAUGUUUUCAAAUCCAAGUUAUUCAUUUGUCAUGUCAGAGAAUGGUUGGCUAUAACUGUUAAAACUUUCAACAACGGAUCUCUUGGUUCUCGCAUCGAUGAAGAACGCAGC
rnacentral:misc_RNA from 1 species